rnacentral:rRNA from 1 species
UGGGGAAUAUUGGACAAUGGGCGCAAGCCUGAUCCAGCCAUGCCGCGUGAGUGAUGAAGGCCCUAGGGUUGUAAAGCUCUUUCACCGGUGAAGAUAAUGACGGUAACCGGAGAAGAAGCCCCGGCUAACUUCGUGCCAGCAGCCGCGGUAAUACGAAGGGGGCUAGCGUUGUUCGGAUCUACUGGGCGUAAAGCGCACGUAGGCGGACUUUUAAGUCAGGGGUGAAAUCCCGGGGCUCAACCCCGGAACUGCCUUUGAUACUGGAAGUCUUGAGUAUGGUAGAGGUGAGUGGAAUUCCGAGUGUAGAGGUGAAAUUCGUAGAUAUUCGGAGGAACACCAGUGGCGAAGGCGGCUCACUGGACCAUUACUGACGCUGAGGUGCGAAAGCGUGAGGAGCAAACAGGAUUAGAUACCCUGGUAGUCCACGCCGUAAACGAUGAAUGUUAGCCGUUGGGGAGUUUACUCUUCGGUGGCGCAGCUAACGCAUUAAACAUUCCGCCUGGGGAGUACGGUCGCAAGA